CCCAGCGUUAAAACGCUGGGCUAUGUUUAUGCUGUCCCUCCGGGACG
rnacentral:sRNA from 1 species